GUGCUCACGUCAGCGGCACAUACACUAAAACUGGAACAAAACAGAGAAGAUUAGCAUGGUCCCUGUGCAAGGAUGACACAUGAAAUAAAAUCAGCAAUUCUCAUAUAU
ensembl:snRNA U6 U6 spliceosomal RNA